rnacentral:rRNA from 1 species
AGGCGACGACGGGUAUCCGGCCUGAGAAGGGUGACCGGCCACACUGGGACUGAGACACGGCCCAGACUCCUACGGGAGGCAGCAGUGGGGAAUAUUGCACAAUGGGCGAAAGCCUGAUGCAGCGACGCCGCGUGAGGGAUGACGGCCUUCGGGUUGUAAACCUCUUUCAGCAGGGACGAAGCGCAAGUGACGGUACCUGCAGAAGAAGCACCGGCCAACUACGUGCCAGCAGCCGCGGUAAUACGUAGGGUGCGAGCGUUGUCCGGAAUUACUGGGCGUAAAGAGCUCGUAGGCGGUUUGUCGCGUCGUCUGUGAAAACCCGAGGCUUAACCUCGGGCCUGCAGGCGAUACGGGCAGACUAGAGUACUGCAGGGGA